GACGAACGCUGGCGGCGUGCUUAACACAUGCAAGUCGAACGAUGAAGAAGAGAAACGCGAACUUCGGUUCAAAUUUCACUUCGGAUUAGUGGCAGACGGGUGAGUAACGCGUGAGCAACCUACCUCUUACAAAGGGAUAGCCUCGGGAAACCGUGAUUAAUACCAUAUGACACAUUCAUAAGGCAUCUUAAUAAUGUUAAAGCUACGGCGGUAAGAGAUGGGCUCGCGUCCCAUUAGCUAGUUGGUGAGGUAACGGCCCACCAAGGCGACGAUGGGUAACCGGCCUGAGAGGGUGAACGGUCACAUUGGAACUGAGACACGGUCCAAACUCCUACGGGAGGCAGCAGUGGGGAAUAUUGCACAAUGGAGGGAACUCUGAUGCAGCGACGCCGCGUGAGCGAUGAAGGAAUUCGUUUCGUAAAGCUCUGUUCUAUGGGAAGAAAAGGACUGUACCAUAGGAGAAAGCCCCGGCUAAAUACGUG
rnacentral:rRNA from 1 species